UCUUAUAACUUUAUAACACAUUGAAAAAUUAGUUCACACUUUUGUUUUCAGUCAAAUAGAUUACCAUAAUAUAUUCUUUACAGGACUACCAAAGAAAGCCAUCAAUCAGUUACAGUUACAAGAAUCUUAACCAGAAAAAGAAAGUCUGAGCACAUUUAAUCAGUUUUAGCGUCGUUACAUUGGUUACUCGUGUCAUUUAGAAUUGACUUUAAAAUACUACAACAGAUAUGGUCCUCAAGUCCAAAAUUAGCACUUAAGGAUAAUUUGCAUGUCUGCCGAAUGGUGGCAGCAGGGUUGGGAAGA